ACGGCGUAACCGAAAAGCCGUUAACAGAGUAGGAA
rfam:Chryseobacterium sp. Leaf201 contig_47, whole genome shotgun sequence.